GGACGGUGGGCUCAGGUGUAGGGCACACUGGCCAUCGACACCUCCAGCCAGCUGCGGGCGACCUUGGCAUACAGAGGGGAGUGUGGCCGGGCCCUGGGGUCACCCGGCCCCAUGCAAUGAGUGUCCCUGCUGAGGGACAAGCAUAUCUGUGACUCAGGACAAGCCGUCAAGGCGUCUGGACCCCCACACAUACCAAGAGGUCCAGGCCACGUGCAGAGGCCCACCUCCGCCUGCUGCUUCCUUAGCCGCACAGCUAGCCCAGCCACUGGAGGGGACGGCCGUGGGGGUCUUGACCCAGCAGUCCCUGUCACUGUCGGGACGGGACAUGUGAUGGCGGCUGCAAGUGAGCACCCGCCUGGUCUGGAAGCCCAGGGCUGCCUCCCUUCCUCUAGCCCUGGAUGAUGCCGCCUGGCACCUCCUCGAAACCCAGUUCCCAGGGAGUGUGCGCUCCAGCCCCCAGGUCCGCCCUGCUCAGCCCACUGCCCAUCUCAGAAGAGCUGCCAGUUAUCCAGGACUCCACAGAGCCAAGAGCGCCAUCCUGGAUUAGGUGCUCAGUGUCACUCCCCAGGGCUCCUGCGUCAGACCUGAACGAGAGACAGACUUGAUGUGAGUGGCCGCUUCAGCGCCAGAGGCUCUGCUGUCCAGCUCCACCACAGGGCUUCCGUGAAACUUCUUUUGAUCUAAUGAAAUUUGCAAAACUAGUAUAGGCUCCGCUGUGGAUGAGGAGCUCUAUGCUCUGCGACAGAAGGCAGCCCAUCACGUCCAAGCUGGUGGCCAGCGGGGAAAGAGGAGAGCAGGCAGAAGGCGGUGGCUGCCGACAUAAAGACACUGCAGAGCAUGGUCGCCGAGAGGCACGGGGUCUCAGUCCUGGGACCCUGCAGCCUUACCCGGUGUGAAGGCAUCGGUGUCUGGGGCAGACCGCCAAGGACGCACAGCACGUGGCUGGGCCCCGAGUGGGCGGGGAGUGAGGCAGGAGGCAGGAAGAAGGCCCCCACUGCCGCAUACAGCACCGUGGCCCUCGCCUCUCUCCUGGAGAAGGAACCGGAGCACUCCCACCGGCCCUGCUCACAAUUCACUUGUUCCAGGUGACCCAAGAGGACGAACCCAAACAGUCUUGGAGGGGUGGCUGAGCGGCUUUGGGAGGGCUGAGAGGAGGGUCUGGGGCAGCGGGCAAUGGGGACCCACCUGUGCACAGACCUUCUGCCCUCUCUCAACAGUGAGACGUCACCCCUUCCCACUGAGGUUCGGUUCUCCAAUACCAUCGUGCUGCAGUAUUGCGGGGUCCACACCUUUAGCUCUGGAACACUCUGCUCACCCCAAAAGGGAGCUCGUGUCAGCAGAGAAUUGUCAAACCUCUCAUUCUUGUGACAUGGGGAUGUACCAUUUCUCCCCUCACUGAUGACAGCCAUCAGGCACCUCUGCCUCGUGGCUACCCAGGAUGCUGUGGACAUCGUGCUUGGGGCUCAACCUUCUGUGCUGGACGCUGGAGAGUGAGCUCUCCACUCACUGUGUCGGACGCUGUUCAGACACAGCAGCUUGUUGCUUCGCUGUUUUGGGGAGCACACCUGUCCAGCAGGUGGUCAGGCUCUGCAAGCAGGGAAGCGUGCUUGCAUCCAAGGUCCCAGCGGUGGCUGUUCUGGGUUGUCAACUCGACUACAGCUGGCAUUAGCCGACUCCUAAGCUGCUGAGUGCCUGAGGGAGGGCUUUUUCCUAACUGGAUCAUUCAAGGUCAGAAGACCCACCCACCUGAAAUCUGGGCCUCACCUUCUGCUGGCAGCCUAUGGAAAGGACAGGAAGGAAGCUUGUUCUCUCUGCCUGCUUUUUCUCAUGCUUCCUGGCAAGUUCAUUCCUUCACUGGCAUUAGAGCCUACUUUGGGAUUCUGGAGUAUCCUGAAAGCCAGCUGAGGCACCCUGGAUUUUUGGACCUUCUGUUGGUAGACAGCCAUUGCUGGACAAGCUGGACCACAAACUAUAAGCCAUUCUAAUAAAUCUCUUUCUAUUUAUGUAGAGACAUUCGUUCCAUGAGUUUUGUUCCUCUGAAGAAUCCUGGCUAAUACAGUCCCUACACCAGGUCUGAGGCCUCAUAGACAGAGUCCUCAUGCACAGCGGGACAGAUCAGGGCAAUGGAAGCUGCCAAAUGAAGGUUCCUCUCAGCCAGCCCUACAACGUGAGCCACAGAAAAUAAAGUGGUUAUGCUGGCCCUAGGCCAGGGCAAAGCCACAGAAGCAGCCACCUCUGGAACUGGAGAUCACAUCACCUAGAAAAAGCCAGAAGAACCUGGGAGAUAAGCUUCAGACACCCUGGGGGUCCUCACUCGGCCCUGUGGAGAGUGACAGCUGGUGUGGUGGUCUGAAUGAACCAUCCCCCUCUAGACUCACAGGGAGUGGCACUAUGAGGAGGUGUGGGAGGAGGUGAGGCCUUGUUGGAAAAAGUGUGUCACUCGGGAUGGGCUUUGAGGUUUCAGAUGCUCAAGCCAGGCCCAGUGUCUCUCUCUCUUCCUGCUGCCUGCAGAUCCAGAUGUAGAACUCUCGCUACCUCUCCAGCACCAUGUCUGCCUGCACCCCUCCAUGCUUCCCUGCCAUGACAAUAAACCUCUGAACUGUAA